rnacentral:rRNA from 1 species
GGGUUGUGAGGUUAAGCGACUAAGCGUACACGGUGGAUGCCCUGGCAGUCAGAGGCGAUGAAGGACGUGCUAAUCUGCGAAAAGCGUCGGUAAGGUGAUAUGAACCGUUAUAACCGGCGAUGUCCGAAUGGGGAAACCCAGUGCAAUUCGUUGCACUAUCGUUAACUGAAUACAUAGGUUAACGAGGCGAACCGGGGGAACUGAAACAUCUAAGUACCCCGAGGAAAAGAAAUCAACCGAGAUUCCCCCAGUAGCGGCGAGCGAACGGGGAGCAGCCCAGAGUCUGAAUCAGCUUGUGUGUUAGUGGAACGGUCUGGAAAGUCCGACGGUACAGGGUGAUAGUCCCGUACACCAAAAUGCACAGGCUGUGAACUCGAAGAGUAGGGCGGGACACGUGGUAUCCUGUCUGAAUAUGGGGGGACCAUCCUCCAAGGCUAAAUACUCCUGACUGACCGAUAGUGAACCAGUACCGUGAGGGAAAGGCGAAAAGAACCCCGGCGAGGGGAGUGAAAAAGAACCUGAAACCGUGUACGUACAAGCAGUGGGAGCACCUUCGGGUGUGACUGCGUACCUUUUGUAUAAUGGGUCAGCGACUUAUAUUCUGUAGCAAGGUUAACCGUAUAGGGGAGCCGCAGGGAAACCGAGUCUUAACUGGGCGUUAAGUUGCAGGGUAUAGACCCGAAACCCGGUGAUCUAGCCAUGGGCAGGUUGAAGGUUGGGUAACACUAACUGGAGGACCGAACCGACUAAUGUUGAAAAAUUAGCGGAUGACUUGUGGCUGGGGGUGAAAGGCCAAUCAAACCGGGAGAUAGCUGGUUCUCCCCGAAAGCUAUUUAGGUAGCGCCUCGUGAACUCAUCUUCGGGGGUAGAGCACUGUUUCGGCUAGGGGGUCAUCCCGACUUACCAACCCGAUGCAAACUACGAAUACCGAAGAAUGUUAUCACGGGAGACACACGGCGGGUGCUAACGUCCGUCGUGAAGAGGGAAACAACCCAGACCGCCAGCUAAGGUCCCAAAGUCAUGGUUAAGUGGGAAACGAUGUGGGAAGGCACAGACAGCCAGGAUGUUGGCUUAGAAGCAGCCAUCAUUUAAAGAAAGCGUAAUAGCUCACUGGUCGAGUCGGCCUGCGCGGAAGAUGUAACGGGGCUAAACCAUGCACCGAAGCUGCGGCAGCGACACUAUGUGUUGUUGGGUAGGGGAGCGUUCUGUAAGCCUGCGAAGGUGUGCUGUGAGGCAUGCUGGAGGUAUCAGAAGUGCGAAUGCUGACAUAAGUAACGAUAAAGCGGGUGAAAAGCCCGCUCGCCGGAAGACCAAGGGUUCCUGUCCAACGUUAAUCGGGGCAGGGUGAGUCGACCCCUAAGGCGAGGCCGAAAGGCGUAGUCGAUGGGAAACAGGUUAAUAUUCCUGUACUUGGUGUUACUGCGAAGGGGGGACGGAGAAGGCUAUGUUAGCCGGGCGACGGUUGUCCCGGUUUAAGCAUGUAGGCUGGUUAUCCAGGCAAAUCCGGAUAAUCAAGGCUGAGGUGUGAUGACGAGGCACUACGGUGCUGAAGUAACAAAUGCCCUGCUUCCAGGAAAAGCCUCUAAGCAUCAGGUAACAUCAAAUCGUACCCCAAACCGACACAGGUGGUCAGGUAGAGAAUACCAAGGCGCUUGAGAGAACUCGGGUGAAGGAACUAGGCAAAAUGGUGCCGUA